UUUGGCGGUUUUGCUAUUUCUUGGGCGACUGAGAAAUAACUAUUUCUUAGUCAAUGAUUACAACCUUUUGAUUCAAUCAUCGAGAUUGUAGGUCUGAUGGAUAAGAAAGAUUUUCAUUGGAUGACUACGAUUGUCGAUCGAGAAAUAACUAUUUCUUAGUUGACUGAGAAAUAGACGGUCCCAAUUUUUG